UACGUAGGGUGCGAGCGUUAAUCGGAAUUACUGGGCGUAAAGCGUGCGCAGGCGGUUUUGGAAGUCAGAUGUGAAAUCCCCGGGCUUAACCUGGGAAUGGCAUUUGGGACUGCAAAGCUUGAGUGCGGCAGAGGGGACUGGAAUUCCUGGUGUAGCAGUGAAAUGCGUAGAGAUCAGGAGGAAUACCGAUGGCGAAGGCAGGUCCCUGGGCUGACACUGACGCUCAUGCACGAAAGCGUGGGGAGCAAACAGG
rnacentral:rRNA from 1 species